AGCGGGGGCGGGGCCCGGAGGGAGUCUGGGAGGGCCCGAAAGUUUGCCCAAGUCGCUGGGGCGGCCGGCCGGGGUGCAAGCAGUCGGGCCGGGCUCCCACGACCCCCGCGCGGGGCGGGCCCAGGCAGGAAGUGGGCGCACUUACUGGCCCCCUCGAUCUUGUCGGCGCCCCGGCUCCACGUGAUCUGGCGCGUCUCCAGCUUGACCUGGAAGGUCUUCCGCUCGGGUCGCUGCGACUUCUUGGAGUAGAACAAAGUCAUGACGGUGCCCACCUCGAGGCUGCGGCAGAGCACCGCCAAAAUUGAGGACACCCACGGUCGCGGUGGAGCCUGUCUGACAUGUUGAGCCAGGCAGUGGGUCGGCUGCCAGGCACAGCAGGACAACUUACUGCAUUUCAGAGGAAUGAUGGUCCACAAUUUACUGAUGAGGAAACAGAGAUUCAGAGAAGUUCUACAAUUUGCCCCAAAGCCACAUAACAUGACUAGGUGGGAACUAGAACCCAAGUCGGCCUGACUCCAUGAGUUUUCUGCCUCACAGGAGAUCCACUGGCUUAGAGUUUCUCUCUCGUCGCCCAGGCUGGCGUGCAAUGGCACAAUCUUGGCUCACUGCAAUCUCCGCCUCCCGAGUUCAAGCAGUCCUGCCUCAGCCUCCUGAGUCUCUUUUGAUUUGGUGCUGUCACAGGUUGGGUUCUUUGGAUGUGGACUCUGUGACAGGAAACCAGCCAAGUAACCUUGUUAUCAUGCCGGACUUCUUUCCACUUAUGUCCUGGAGGAGGAGAAGGAACCUUGGCAUCUCUGGAAAUAACAGAGCACGAGGAUAGUGAAAUAAGAUGCCCCAAAGUGUGAAAGUGGUGAUGUUGGCAAUUUGGAUAUGCCAUACAGAAGCUGCACAGAGUGCUUUAAAUGAAAAGGUGGAAAUUAUCGACUUAAUAAAAAAAACUGUAUGGUGAAGUUGCUAAGAUCUAAGGCAGCCUGUAGAAGAAAAAUGACAUCCCAGCUGGAUACCAGAAAGAUCCUUCAGUAAUGAGGAUGGCCAAGGCUGGAAGAUGGAGAUGGAUGAGCAUCACAAGAUUCCAGAGUAAAAUAGAUCAAAGAGCAGGGAGGUACAUGGCCAAUAUGAUUUCAUCUGUCUUAAAUCCUUAAUAUCCAGUAGCCACUGUGGGACAGGUCUGCCCAUCCUUAAUUACUAUAUUAUUGGCUGGAGUUACUGACUGGUUUUUAGGUCACUGAAGCACCAAGAUUCCUGUACAGAGCUACUGAGCAAAGUACUUGUUCACAAUUUUCAGUCUAACUAAAACCUUUAAGAAAAUUUAGACUUUGAGAACUCUAAGUCUUUAGCAUAGAAUGAUGUGAAAUUACUGAUGUUAAUGUUGUGUCAUAAGAACCAAGAAGAAAGUUAAAUGAACCAAUCACAAUUCCAGAAUUCUCCAGAGGUUUAAUAAAUUCUGUAGUACCAGUUUCUC
rnacentral:lncRNA from 1 species